UCGACUGCUGGGCAUCUUUGCUGUAAUGUUUUCUUUGGAAUUAAAAGUAUUCUUUGCGUUCAGUAAUUCGCCGCCCUGAGAGGAAUGUACUAGAGAAGUGUUUGGUUGGUGAUCAAAUCUAUGAAGUAUACUGUAGCGAUACCGUAACGUAUUAAAUCAUGUACUGAAGUUAAAAGUGUUACUGAUGAUUUCAGAACUGCUUCCUUUAACCCAAUAGUGAUUCUCGAUUCAGAACGAAUCUUUUGAUUUAAGGGUUGUUAUGACAUCUUUAAGAUUUGACAACUUGAAAUAUGUUACCACAUAAGUUCACUACACUGGCAGGGAGUCAUGGAGUACCUUGAAAGGAUCCCAGUACUCAUUGGGCAGGAGGCUAGUUGGGCCCAAGUGGCAGUUGGGAUGCAGAGGCUAGAGGAAAAUUCCUCUGCCGCUGUCGAGAGUCGAACCCCAGUAUUCCAGUUCAUAGGCAGUCACUAUACUGACUGAGCUACCCUCUCUGCUACUAUUUUUUUUGUUUCAGUGUGGGCAGUUCUUGGGGUUAUUAUUGUCAUACAUGGAAGUGUGUUUCGUUAGAUGUAGAAAAUGGAAACUUACAUUCAACAGCUACUAGUCCAAUUUUUUUUAAUAAAAGGAGAUUUGUCCACAUAAAUCACUAGUACAAUUUAUUGCAGGAUUUUUCAACCCGGAAAAGUCCAGUACAUCUAAUUUAUUAAAUAUAUAACACCAAACAUGAAAGCAGACAAAGCAUUUCAAGGAACAGAGUAAUUGUUGUUAUGAAUGUAGAUAACUUUCUACAUAAUUUCACAAUCAAGGUUCCCAAAGAAGCAAAGCUCACUUGCCAUAGUGAUUCAGAAACUUGCAGUUUAGUCUCAAAUUCGAUUUAAAGACCUCCUUGCCCUUUGGAUCUGCUUAUAAAGAACUGAUAAUUUCUCUUUAUUAUCAGACCUCAAAAAAGUAGAAGACAGUUUGAAAGUCUAUAAAAAUUUGGAAAUUUAUAUUAUUCUUAGUUAUAAAAAUAAGAGAAAUUUCAUAUUUUUCAUAGCUAUGCAGGCCAACACAAAGAAAAUUGUAAUUUUGUACACUAACAUUUUAAUAUUUACAUUUUUAGACAGGAAAUGUGAAGACAAACAAUUCUGAACUGAACGUUAGCAGGCAUUCUUCAAGUACUUUUUAUUUCCUUAUUAAUGCAAUUUUGAUUUGUUACUGCCAUUUCCAAAUAUUUGAACUAUAACACAUUUUUUAAAAAUAUAUUAGCAAUUUCUGUAUUACAAUUUUGUCCCAAAUCCUGAUCAUGAAAUAUGU